CUCCUACGGGAGGCAGCAGUGGGGAAUCGUUGCACAAUGGGGGCAACCCGUGAUGCAGCGACGCCGCGUGAGCGAUGAAGCCCUUCGGGGUGUAAAGGCUCUUUCGGCAGGGACGAUAAUGACGGUACCUGAAGAAGAAGCUGCGGCUAACUACGUGCCAGCCGCCGCGGUAAUUC
rnacentral:rRNA from 1 species